CCUACGGGAGGCAGCAGUGAGGAAUAUUGGUCAAUGGGCGCGAGCCUGAACCAGCCAAGUCGCGUGAGGGAAGACGGUCCUAUGGAUUGUAAACCUCUUUUGUCGGGGAGCAAAAGCCGCCACGCGUGGCGUUCCGAGAGUACCCGAAGAAAAAGCCACGGCUGAAUCCGGUCCAGCAGCCGCGGUAAUACGGAGGAUGCGAGCGUUAUCCGGAUUUAUUGGGUUUAAAGGGUGCGCAGGCGGAAGAUCAAGGCAGCGGUAAAAUUGAGAGGCUCAACCUCUUCGAGCCGGUGAAACUGGUUUUCUUGAGUGAGCGAGAAGUAUGCGGAAUGCGUGGUGUAGCGGUGAAAUGCAUAGAUAUCACGCAGAAGUCCGAUUGUGAAGGCAGCAUACCGGCGCUCAACUGACGCUCAGGCACGAAAGUGUGGGUAUCGAACAGGAUUAGAUACCCGGGUAGUC
rnacentral:rRNA from 1 species